UGCCUAGGAAGCUUUUCCNCAUCUUGCCUGC
rnacentral:piRNA from 1 species